rnacentral:lncRNA from 1 species
AAAUACUCCAAGUGAUGGACACGGAUGAAUGUGAAAAGGAAAGUGGGUUGAACAAAAAUGAGGGACAAAGGGUUGAGGAAAACCAAAGGAAUAAGGUGAAAGAGCAGGAUAGAGAUGAAAGGGGAGGAGUACAGCCAAGGAGGAGGUCAUGCAUCACAAAAAAGCCUCUGGCUGAUAUCACAAAUGAACAAGGAAAGCCUAGGAUGAGAGGAAAGAGGAAGUUAACAAGUGAUCGUGAG